GAUGAACGCUGGCGGCGUGCCUAAUACAUGCAAGUCGAGCGGACGGACGAGAAGCUUUCUUCUCUGAUGGUAGCGGCGGACGGGGGAGUAACACGUGGAUGACCUACCUAUAAGACUGGGAUAACUUCGGGAAACCGGAGCUAAUACCGGAUUAUAUUUUGAACCGCAUGGUUCAAGAGUGAAAGACGGUCUUGCUGUCACUUAGAGAUGGAUCCGCUCUGCAUUAGCUAGUUGGUAAGGUAACGGCUUACCAAGGCAACGAUGCCUAGCCGACCUGAGAGGGUGAUCGGCCACACUGGAACUGAGACACGGUCCAGACUCCUACGGGAGGCAGCAGUAGGGAAUCUUCCGCAAUGGGCGAAAGCCUGACGGAGCCACGCCGCGUGAGUGAUGAAGGUCUUCGGAUCGUAAAACUCUGUUAUUAGGGAAGAACAUAUGUGUAAGUAACUGUGCACAUCUUGACGGUACCUAAUCAGAAAGCCACGGCUAACUCCGUG
rnacentral:rRNA from 1 species